UCCAACAAUAUGAGGCAUGUUAGGAUUCGGUUGACCAAGCAUUUGACCACAACUUACUUUACGAAUGUGUGACUAAUGUGAUCAAAAUCAUAACCAUAAACAAAUAUCCUUGAGUAGGAACAUAAUGAAUAUGAUUCUAUGUCAUAUAAUUAUAUAUCAAUAGAGUAAUUUGUAGUCAAAGUAUUGGUCAAAGAAAAUCUAAUACGCCCCAUAUUGUUG